UUGCUUGGCGCUCGUUGAGGUGCGUCACUCUCGGAAUCGUCACUCUCAGAAUCACUCUCACUCACAAGGGUAUCAGUGGAAAUGGAGUUUGUUUCUUCAACUGCAUCUAUAUAAUCAUUGUCCACAAUGUCCACAACUAGCUUCUCUUCUGAAAAAUUAAAACGAACAAUUAUGAUCGAAAUAUACAGUACAUGUCAAAAGAGAAUGAAAAUAGUAUUGUGUUAGUACAGUAGGACGCAUAGUCAACUCUUGGGAGAGGAAGCUUAUUACCUGUUUCAUUCUUAUGCUCUUCUGUGUUCUCCUUGCCCUUCCCGUUCUUUGCCGGUUCCAUCUGAGGGUGGUUUCUGCAAAAUGUGAUGGAAUCUGAGACAAUAUUUUGGUACAAAAAUGUUGCACGUGAGCACAUACGGAUUUCAUGUCUUGGAAAUUCUAGAAGCAUUAUAUGUGUAUAAA
rnacentral:lncRNA from 1 species